UGUGUACUUCCUCCGUUCCAAAAUACUUGACUUCCAUUUGUCCAAAAAUGCAUGUACCUAUAUACUAAAACAUGUCUAGAUACAUCUAUAUGUUGACAAAUAGAAGGCAUGUAUUGUGGAACGGAGGGAGUAGAAU
rfam:Triticum aestivum genome assembly, contig: Triticum_aestivum_CS42_TGACv1_scaffold_030261_1BL